AUAAUUGAAAGCGUCAUUAUCCCGUAUGUUCAGUUACAUUAAUUGAUUAUUUGACAGAAUGUGAAGGAUGUUUGGGAUGUUUAAUUGCAAGCGUCGUGCAGCGUUACUCGGGGUAGUAUGUCUAAUUCCAUUUAGUAUGUUGAGCUUUUAUUUCGUCCAUGAGUCGAAAUGCAGCUAGGAAUACAGAGUUUAAUAGUACAAUGUGAUAGAUGACAUCUUUCGGACUUUUGUCCACAUGUUAAUGAUUAGUAACUUGACAAUGUUAUUAUUACAUUGAAAUAUCCUGUUUUGGUCAUAAGAUGGAUGCAUAAAAUGCAAAAUCAUUCAACAUGGCUCUCUUGCUUCAGUUAAGAAAGCUCGAUGGUAUGUCGCACAAAGAGGGUAGAUUCUCUCAUUGAAGACGGUGGUUUAAAAACAAGUAAGGUAUACAGUUACCAAUAAAUUAUUAUUUUUUAAAUUUAGGGGCUAUCUAAGUUCCAAUUUCAGCAGGAAUUAAAAAACAAUUAGCGACGUUAAAAAAUUGUACUUACCAAAAGUAUUCACUGAAUACUGCUUUGAACCAUCAUCAGUACAUGUAGUGCUAUAUCGCAGCGAAACACCAGUCUUUAGCUCACCACAGAGUUGGCAAAAACCAAAAAAAAACAAAUACGAGAUUUCACGCUUCCUGUCGACAUGGAAACGUAAAAAGGAAAACAUGCGUUUGGUGGGUGGUCUGCCAUAGAAACAAUUCAAACGAUGGCUUGAUAACGAUCAAAAAGGAUUAUCGGAGAUCACUAGAUUGAAUAAAGGGGAACUGAAAUGUAAAUAAAAGACGAUUUGCGAGCUGUGA